rnacentral:rRNA from 1 species
AGAGUUUGAUCAUGGCUCAGAUUGAACGCUGGCGGCAGGCCUAACACAUGCAAGUCGAGCGGUAACAUUUCUAGCUUGCUAGAAGAUGACGAGCGGCGGACGGGUGAGUAAUGCUUGGGAACAUGCCUUGAGGUGGGGGACAACCAUUGGAAACGAUGGCUAAUACCGCAUAAUGUCUACGGACCAAAGGGGGCUUCGGCUCUCGCCUUUAGAUUGGCCCAAGUGGGAUUAGCUAGUUGGUAAGGUAACGGCUUACCAAGGCGACGAUCCCUAGCUGGUUUGAGAGGAUGAUCAGCCACACUGGAACUGAGACACGGUCCAGACUCCUACGGGAGGCAGCAGUGGGGAAUAUUGCACAAUGGGCGCAAGCCUGAUGCAGCCAUGCCGCGUGUGUGAAGAAGGCCUUCGGGUUGUAAAGCACUUUCAGUCAGGAGGAAAGGUUAGUAGUUAAUACCUGCUAGCUGUGACGUUACUGACAGAAGAAGCACCGGCUAACUCCGUGCCAGCAGCCGCGGUAAUACGGAGGGUGCGAGCGUUAAUCGGAAUUACUGGGCGUAAAGCGUACGCAGGCGGUUUGUUAAGCGAGAUGUGAAAGCCCCGGGCUUAACCUGGGAGCUGCAUUUCGAA